GACGAAUAAACCACUGGACGCGUAACGAGUGACGUUUUCGUCUUUACCCCGCUAGCACUUACCAAGGCUAAAUUAGCCAUGGUAAAUGUUGUCAGGUUGUCACUUUGUCAGUAUGACGCGAGCUCUCGAAGAGUAAAAAUAUCACGAAAAAUGGGUAAAUGCGCUGUACUUUAUUGCAAAAAUUAUUCCGGUCACACAAGAAAUGUUUCUUAUCACGCAUUUCCAGUGGAUCCAAAUAGAAGGAGAAAGUGGAUAGAGGCAGUCAGAAGACAAAAUACGUGGAUUUCAACUAAAAACCACUGCAUUUGUAGCAUUCAUUUUGCGGAAGAAUGCUACAAUGCCAAUUCUACGAAACAGAGAAAACUGCACAAAGAUUCUAUACCUACAUUGAAUUUGCCUAAAUUUGUUUUAUUUUCAGUAUGCAAUACCGAGGUGGAACCUUUUAGAUCUGUGUCAUCCCCUCACGUUUAGUGAAAUACCGGGGUGGUUGGAACUUGAUUUGGUCCAUCCUGUCAUCAACUGUUUUUCAAUGGGACGACUUCUGAACAUCAGAGAGAUCUUGACUGUCAAGAUACGUGAAUUAGGCCACUGAACUUUUCAAAACAAAACCAACACAGGUGAAAUAUCUGAGCAUCUCCCUUGACAACAAAUUGAACUGGGCGAGUCAUAUCGACAACAUGCAUAGUGCCUAGCAAACAUAGCGGCCACGGGUUGUAUGAGAACCACUAUAUCGGCAUCACUUGACUUCUUUCUGAAUCUCUACAUUUAGA